rnacentral:lncRNA from 1 species
GAAAAUUUAGGCCAAACUGCACUAUACUGUAUGGCAGGCAGAUUGACAAGGGAGGAACGCUUCAGUCUAACCCAAAUUGUGCAACAAAGUGGAUGAACAUAAUAUCGUUAAGCGAUAGAAAAAUUUUCAAGGUGUCUUAAGCUAAGCGUAUGUUUUUAUACAGUCAACACCGAAGCCUUCGUAAAAGCUUAAUUUUGCUAAUUUUUUAAUAUCUUUUUCUUCUAAGUAUGCGCUAUAAAGUUUUUUUGACACACGAUGAAUAAAGCAGAAUUAUUUUUAAUAUUUUGUAGAAAGUAGAAUUAAAAAUGGAUGAAAUCAUCAACACCGAAGCAAUCAACUCCGAAGCCCAGUCGUGCCUCGGAGUUGUUGAAAGUGUGUGAGUGGUCAUUCUUAAACUAAAAAAAUACAAUAAAAAUAAAAAUGUUA